AACGAACGUUGGUGAGAUGUUUUAAGCAUGCAAGUUGAGCGAGGUCUUCGGACCAAGCGGCGAACGGGUGAGUAACACGUAGCUACCUGCCAAUCAGACUGGGAUAGCCCUGGGAAACCAGGAUUAAUACCGGAUAUGAAGUAAUUUAAAAGACGCGAUGGUGUCACUGAUUGAUGGGGCUGCGGCUGAUUAGCUAGAUGGUGGGGUAAUGGCCUACCAUGGCGAUGAUCAGUAGCCGGCCUGAGAGGGUGAUCGGCCACAUUGGGACUGAGAUACGGCCCAG
rnacentral:rRNA from 1 species